GGUGCUAUGUGUGUUUAAUUCUAAUGAUUAUAUUCAGCUUCAUACUGAUUUUUAUGAAUAAGUGAUGCAUUAAUUCAGUUAUUUAAAACAUUAAUUACACAUUAUUAUUACAUUGCUGCAAUGCUCACGGUUGUCAUCCUGUUCUAGAUAAACACUACUUCACCUAAGAGACUUGAGUAUCCAGUUCUUCAUUGACCUUAAGCAUUCAGUUGUUUGUCUUCACCUUUUCAGGUAAGCAAUUUAAAAAAAAUGCUUUUGUAAUGUUGAGAAACACUGAAAUUAUUAUUCAUAAAGAACUUUCAACCAUUGUUCUGUGAUGUCAUGUAUAGUGAUAUACAAAUAUAUCUGAAGGAAAGGUGUAUUUGGGAUAAUCAAUAUUAUUAGUAUUAUUCAUGUAUUUAUUCAUUUUUAAAUAAGAGAAUGGGGGAAAAUAGAUUAUUAGCACAACAACUAGUAACUAGUAAAAAAAAAAGUUCAUUCAUUAAUUGACGCUUGGUCAAACUCUCAUCUAAUUAAGUAUUGCUGUCUCAUUAAUGUAUUAAUGUAUUUAUUUAUUUUGUAGGCUAAAACCUGAGAGACCAUGUUGUUGUUUCACAUCAGAAUAAGUAUUUCACAUGAUGCAGAUUUUUCAGCAUGUGGUCCUCAAUAUAUAGUAUAGAAGUCACUGCAUGUUCUGACUUUUCCAGGUUUCCUGUGUCCAGCAUCUUCAAGACAGACUAAGCUAACUUUUCAUAUUUUUUGCACAUUUAUAUUUAGGUUAGGUUAGGAGUAGGUUAGGUUUAUAGUAGAGUAUUUAGUUUGUAUAGUUUAGCUUUUUAUGCUGGUCUAGGGACAGUUAAGUUAGCAAAUUAAUUUAGUUCAGAUCACUUACAGUUGCAUAUUAUUGUUACAAUUGUGUUAUUUUGUGAGUUAUUGUUGUACAGGCUAUUGUAUAUUGCAGAACCAAGUGAGACGAGGAAGACCACUGCUUCCAAGAUGCCGCGCUCAGAAAGUGCGUUGGACAAGUCUCGACUUUGCAGAUCCUGCCCCACUUAGCCCAACCACUUCCGACCAUGGGGUACUUCAAAGACCUCCGUCAACCAGCCGGCUGUGGAUGAUGGAUAACGCACCCACAACUCCUUCUCCAGUCUACAAGACACCCCCACAGUCCAAGAACAGCUGGAUGACCUCUGGACCCACUUGCCCCUGUUCACCAGUUGAAAAGAUAGGCUUUUUAAAAAAUUCUUCAAUUGUUAAUUCUGCACAAAACAUUGUAUGUCUUCCAUUUCAACAAACACAAACAUGAAAUGUAUAUUUAAAUACAUAACUUAAUGCAAAUCAAUCAUACUAAAUCAUAUAUAAAUCAUACAUAUCUUCUUUUUUUUUAAACCAACCAUUGCACGGACUUCCAUCCAAGGAGAGGUUACAUCUUGAUGGAAGGAGUUCUCAGAGACAUCCUGGUAUGUGGACUUGCUAGAUGAUUUCAUCUGAAGGAGUUCCAAGAUCCAGAAACAUGGAUCACCUCGUUCCAUGACGCUGGACUGCACUAUGAGAGGACACGAAUAUCAAGCCUUUGUGGGAUCACUAUGAACACCCUAAGGCGAAAAGCUGGGACAGAUCUCUCCGGCAAUAUAGUGGGACAUUUGCAGGACGGCACUAUGAAAGAGGCUUCUUUGCCUUCUGUGAUAUCUGACUUCCAGCGCCGACAAAGUGACCGAUAUCUCUUUGAAUGGACUGACCCCAUAGUACAUCAAGGACCUCAUCCAAAUCUAUACUCCAGCGCUCAAAUUGAGGUCCGAGGGCCAGCUCCAGCCCGUGGUGCCUUGAGCGAGAUUUAAAACCAGCGGGGACAGGGCUUUCUCUGCGGUGGGCCCCAGAUUUUGGAAUGCCCUCCCCCUCCAUGUCCCAACAGCCCCCACGGUGGAGUGCUUUAAGUCUCGUCUUAAGACCCAUUUUUAUUUCCUGGCUUUUUAACUUUGCUUGAGUUUUGUGGUCCUCUGUGUCUUUUAUUUAUUUUACUACUUCAAACUACGUCUUUUAUUUAUUUUACUAUCUGUUUGAUUUUAUUGUUUUAUUUAUAGCAUCAUUUUAGAGUAAUACACUUUUUAUUUAUUGCUGAUUGUUAUAUGGAAAUGUUUGUUUUAUUGUUGAUUCUAUGUACAGCACUUUGGAGACGUUUUUGUUGUUUAAAUGUGCUAUACAAAUAAAGUGGAUUGGAUUGAAGUAAAAUCAUGUAGAGUGGUUGUCUUACUGCAGUAACUUCCUCAUAGACACUGUGUAGCUUAAGGCUACAAGAAGUUAUUUCUUCCUGCAGCCGGCGGAUUAUUUCAACCAUGGGGGACAGAACCCAAUGUAUAUCUUUAGGAGUUUUGAGUGAUGCUGUUGUAGCCAUUUCAUAGUGUCUGAGC